rnacentral:rRNA from 1 species
GAGUUUGAUCUUGGCUCAGAUUGAACGCUGGCGGCAUGCCUAACACAUGCAAGUCGAACGGCAGCGCGGGGGCAACCCUGGCGGCGAGUGGCGGACGGGUGAGGAACACAUAGGAAUCUACCUCAACGUGGGGGAUAACGUAGGGAAACUUACGCUAAUACCGCAUACGACCGAGAGGGGAAAGCGGCGGACCGCAAAGCGUCGCGCGGUGAGAUGAGCCUAUGUCCGAUUAGCUAGUUGGCGGGGUAAGAGCCCACCAAGGCGACGAUCGGUAGCUGGUCUGAGAGGAUGAUCAGCCACACUGGGACUGAGACACGGCCCAGACUCCUACGGGAGGCAGCAGUGGGGAAUAUUGGACAAUGGGCGCAAGCCUGAUCCAGCAAUGCCGCGUGGGUGAAGAAGGCC